rnacentral:rRNA from 1 species
AUGAGACACCUCAAGCAACACCUACCGCUACAGGCAACCAGAGAGUUCUUGGCACUAUGGGAAGGGAUCAGCGGCACUGUCCUAUUGACGACGCAUGACCAAGUGCGGUGGAGAUGGACCUCCGACGGGAUUUACACGGCCCGGUCGGCAUACCUGAUCCAGUUUGAGGGAUGCACCAGGAGUGGCUUCGCCGACUUUAUCUGGAACACAGACGCGCCUGGCAAGUGCAAACUGUUUGCGUGGUUGGCAAUGCUUGGGCGUUGCAACACUGCCGACGUUCUAGCCAAGAAGGGCUGGCCACAUAAUGCAACCUGCUCUUUCUGUGACGGACCAAUGGAAGAUGCCAUUCACCUGCUGGCAACAUGCCCGUUCAUGCCGCAGAUUUGGCAUGCCGUCCUCCGCCAGUGCGGUCUACCUCAGGAGCUUGCCCCAUGCCCAGCCACAGAAUCCCUGUCACAAUGGGCUGAGCCCACAACCUCUAUGCGUCCGGCGGUGCAAAGCAAGAAGUGGAGUGCCUUGGUACAACUAGUCUGGUGGUCAACUUGGAAUGAACGCAACGCUAGAAUCUUCCGGAACCAGCAAUCAUCAGCACACACAGUGGUCGACAAGAUGAUUGAGGAGGCAAACGUGUGGCGAACUGCUGGACGAGGCAAUGUCAGCUCCUUGCUGAACAGACCCAGGGAACCGAUUAAGGAAUUGCGCUAG